UGUCAAUCCGCACAUCAGCUAGGUGAGUUAUGUUUGGGGUCAAGGAUUCUGUGGUCAGGUCAUGUGUAUGGACUAGCUCUGGAGUGGAAGAAAGUUAUACUGAGCUUAUCACCAUCAGUCACACGAAAGGAGGAUUAUUUCAUGUCAGGUUCUCACGUUCUUAUCUCUUUCCAGAUGUGCACAAGAGCUGGUUCAGCAGAAGUUAGGGCAGAGGACUAUGGCAUCACCAGAGAAAGGUGUAUGUAAGAUAACGCAGAUAUGUCUUUUUUACAUUAAUAUAAUUAUACUUGUUUAAUAUACAUGUUGAAGUUCAUUUAUGUAUGAUAUAUAAUUUUAUAUUGAUAUUCAUUGAUUUAUAUUACAUGCUUAUAUGCUAGGGGAAUAUAAUUUAAUGUACGAUAUACAUAAAUGUAUUAAUGUACUAUAUAAUUUUAUGUACAAGAAGUAGUUUAAAUAGAAUAUCAGCUUUGGGUGUUGAUGGUGGGGGUUAGUCCUU